rnacentral:rRNA from 1 species
GUCUACGGCCAUGCCGCCCUGAACAAGCCCGAUCCCAUCUGAUCUCAGAAGCUCAGCAGGGUCAGGCCUGGUCAGUGCUUGGAUGGGAGACCACCUAGGAAGACCAGGUGUUGUAGGCA